rnacentral:misc_RNA from 1 species
AACGCACCUUGCGCCCCGUGGUAUUCCGCGGGGCAUGCCUGUUUGAGUGUCAUGAAAUUAUCAAUCUUUCUCUCCUUCUGGAGAUGAUUAGGUUGGAUUUGAGGUGUGUUGGAGACAAUCUGUCUUUGACUCCCUUUUAAUGCAAUAGCGGAAGCCACUCGCUUCUUGGAAUGCUCAUCAACGUGAUAAUUAUCUUGCGCUGUUGGGAUCGCCAGUCUUAGAGUCCGCUCAGAAUGGUCUUCGGACAAUAAUCAUGAUUUUGACCUCAAAUCAGGUAGGACUACCCGCUGAACUUAA